GAUGAAGAACGUAGCGAAAUGCGAUAAGUAAUGUGAAUUGCAGAAUUCAGUGAAUCAUCGAAUCUUUGAACGCACAUUGCGCCCGCCAGUAUUCUGGCGGGCAUGCCUGUUCGAGCGUCAUUUCAACCAUCAAGCCCUGCUUGCGUUGGGGUCCUGCGGCUGCCCGCAGGCCCUGAAAACCAGUGGCGGGCUCGCUAGUCACACCGAGCGCAGUAAUACAUCUCGCUUUGGGCGUGCGGCGGGUUCUUGCCGUUAAACACCCCCUUUUUACCAAGGUUGACCUCGGAUCAGGUAGGAAUUCCCGCUGAACUUAAGCAUAUCAAUAAGCGGAGGA
rnacentral:misc_RNA from 1 species